rnacentral:rRNA from 1 species
GACGAACGCUGGCGGCGUGCUUAACACAUGCAAGUCGAACGGAAAGGCCCUGCUUUUGUGGGGUGCUCGAGUGGCGAACGGGUGAGUAAAAAGUGAGUAACCUGCCCUUGACUUUGGGAUAACUUCAGGAAAAUGGGGCUAAUACCGGAUAGGAGCUCCUGCUGCAUUGGGGGGGUUGGAAAGUUUCGGCGGUUGGGGAUGGACUCGCGGCUUAUCAGCUUGUUGGUGGGGUAGUGGCUUACCAAGGCUUUGACGGGUAGCCGGCCUGAGAGGGUGACCGGCCACAUUGGGACUGAGAUACGGCCCAGACUCCUACGGGAGGCAGCAGUGGGGAAUAUUGCACAAUGGGCGGAAGCCUGAUGCAGCAACGCCGCGUGCGGGAUGACGGCCUUCGGGUUGUAAACCGCUUUCGCCUGUGACGAAGCGUGAGUGACGGUAAUGGGUAAAGAAGCACCGGCUAACUACGUG